rnacentral:lncRNA from 1 species
GUUCUGCAGUCAGUAGCUUGUCUCUCCUAACUUUUCUUGCUUUCACCGGAGACAGCACUAUGCAAUGCCUCACCUGCGUUUCACUUUCAAGUCUGGUGUGAUGUGGCCUAAUACCCUGUGAAGACUUUCCUUCCUGUGGAAAGACAUCCUUCAUCUUUAGCAGAUUUUGGAUCAAGACUCAGUUCCAGCUUUAGAUUGUCACAGAUGAGAGUUUGGAAGCCUUGUAUUUCUGCUGUCUGGAUAGAGAUUCCAAUCUUCGCCAUGCCAUGUCAUGCCAGAGUUUUGUGUAUGUUUGUGUACGUGUGUACAAGUACAUAAGCACUGACAUACUUGCUGGCAUUUUCAAAAGCGAAUCUGGAGUGCUGGCAGUCAGCUUCACUCUCCGCUCAAGUUUGGAUAUGGAUGAAAUUGAGCAGCUGAACUUCAUCUUUGGCAAUACUGAGACCAUGAAGUCUGUGUAUCUAGGUUGUGCCAGUUUCCAGGAUUCCCCUCCACCCCCAUCCCCGCCCCUCGCCCCGGUUCCUCGCACAGACGUGAGCAGCUGCAGCAAUGGAAGACUUCUUUGUAGAGGAGGCAGCUCCAGUGGAACAGCAGGUGUUGCUGUGAGCAGAGAGCUCUGUGUUCCUGAGAGGAUGGAAUUCAGCGGGAACGAAGGCAAGAAGGGAAGAAGUACUCCUGGAAGGAGGUGUUGGAGAAGAGUGCCUUUGAAUUGGUCAAAUUGGGGAAUUUCCUGUUUCUGUUUCUUUUAAUAGGAAGGUCUUAACUGCAAUGAUUAUAUCUUACUAUAGAUUUCCAUGUGCAUGCACUCUUUUUACAAAAGCUGAUGUUUUAAUGUGAGGAGAAG